rnacentral:tRNA from 1 species
CCUGUCGUAGCUAAGUGGUCAGAGCAUUAGUGCGUAAAGCUAAAAGUCCCGGGCUCGAUUCCCGGCGAGGGUG